rnacentral:lncRNA from 1 species
AAUGAAAACAGUCAUUAGCUUCACAAAGCUAUUCCUUAACCACAUUAGACCGUCAGCUGAACCCCUAAAUUUUUUUUUUUCGUUCGAGCAACUGCGGGAAUAGAUUUUCUGAACAGAAUCGAGUACAUAAAUUAAUACCAGAGAUGAGAAAUGCAAAAGUUCUCCACAUGUUAUCCUGCAGUUUUUUAAUAAUUCGGGUGGAAAGAGCGAACUAUUUCGCCAUGGGGAAGCUCUAUGUUCGAAAUUCGCCACGUUUAAAAAUCGUUUGUGAAUGAUGUAAUCUGACUACGUGAUGCAAAUUGUCCAAUCCAAGACCAGAACGAAGAUCGUGGGUCAUGGGUCAUGACGGACUAUGCCAGGUGUGGCGAAGCAUGUCAUUAGUCAUGUUAGUUUUCACGAGACAUGCUGCCGGAGUUUUUUAAACGUCUGCAUGCUGCUAGAAAUGAAAGUUACACGAAGAUUCCCCCUCUGAAGCUUCAUCUUCUUCCCCUAAAAAGCUCUGGGCUAGAUAAAGAUUUUCUUCUGGAAGAUCUUCAAGACUCUCAUGACUCUGUCUGUGUCUGGCAAUCAUGUCUGGUGUGUUGCCUGUAAGGCUGUAUGUUAACUUGAAUGCAUCAUGGAGGAAAGUUGAGCUGUCCGUCACUCGGCAUGGGAAAUAUGCCAAGCAUGUCAAGGAUAAGCUGUUACCGGCAGAAAUUUCGGAUUGAGGAUUGCUUUAUCAAGCAGCAGAGAGAAAAGAGACGAGAAUGUUUUGAUAUACAUUUGGGACAAAGAUUGUGUCGCUCUGGAGGUUCGAUAUCGCACCUCUUGUUGCAAAUCAUACACUCAGUUCCUAACAGGGAAAAGCAAGGAUCCUGAAGGGUUCAAGGGGGUGUGAUGGGAAAAUCUGUUUGGAAGAAGUGACCUGAAUAAAAAGCGUUGUUUACUGUCUGAUUGAAUUGAAGGAGUGAACUUCAGAUGGAGCACCAAGAGGCCUAUAAGAUGUUCAACAGAGAUAGUGAUUGAAGGCCAGGAAAUCAUGAAAGUGACAAGUUGAAGUACUGGCUCAAAAGAGAUUAUUCUGAGCUCCGCUCCCACAAGCCUUUCUGGAGAAACAAGCGUAAGAUUGUCAACUCCUCCANCAUUGUCAUCAAGAAGUUUGGCCGAAUCUCUAGACACUUCAGAGCAUGAUUCAUGAACCGACAUGUCUGACUUGGAAACUGGUACAGAUGCUCCCACCUCUCCAUACGCUGUUACAGGACAAAAAGAAUCUGUACUCGAUGAUUUUUGAUGGAUAGUAAUGAGAAAAUGCUCCAGGGUUCCAAUAAACACUUCGAUCAGUGUUGUCUUUUCAAGGAAGUGCAACAAAUCUGGAUUUCAUAGCUGUCCUGUUCAUUAGAGUUGUUUCCUUUUCCUUUGCAUUAUGCAAUUAUAUUUAUAAAAAUAGCAUUAUAUCUAAAUUGAAUGUACUCUUUUGAUAAUCAAUUGAAGUAACUGGUGAGAUUAACCUUUUUGGGACAUUUUUCUGAAUGCCUUGUUUCAUAAUCUUAUGGCCCGUUCCAGAUAAUCACAUCAAAGUCUGAAUUGGAAUGGGAAUUGGACGCCAUUUUUAGCACAAAAUGAUUGGCUCUAACGAAGGAGGCCUCGGUCGAAAACAUAAUUACAUUGUGAGUACAUUGAGUGAAGUUCUGUACAUGUUUCCCCUGCUGUCAGCAAUUUAUUACAUUUUCAUCUCCACUUUGGACAUCAUAGCCACCUGGUAUCUGUACUGUACAAAACUAAAUAACUCACCUUUUGCCUUUUAUUUUUUUAUUCUAAUAAGCCAGAUUGUGAAAUAUUUUGAGACCAGAAGAACAAUGGUGGUGUCUACCAGAUCAAAAAUCUUUUACCAAAAAGAUAAUAAAUCCUUUCUGUGGUGUCACCUGACUGUUACAAAAAUCAUGUACUGUCUUUUCUUAAUUUGCCACAUAUAGUCAUAACACAAAUCAAAAUGUAUAAUAUUGAAGGUUUGACAUAAUCGCAGUUCUCUAAUUUUAAAGUUGGAAGUGCCCAAAGAAAGCCUAAGAAGCGCAUACAUGUACAAGUAUUGCGCAUUGUAGCAUACAAGACUAUGGCGUUGAGGAUGAAUUACUAAAAAACUGCAGGAUUUUUUUUGGAGUACUUUUGACAUAAUGUUCGGGAUGUACAGAACCUCACAUUUAUGCAUUUAAAAAGUAUUCCCAGUGUCGCUGGAACGGAACUCAUUUUUACAGCCUGCUGACGACCUACAUGCUGCCGGGUGCUUUUAAAAAUGCAGUGCACACAUACGGGCGAUUUUCAUGAUUUUCAGUUUCCAAAAUUCUUCAAAAUUUAUUUAAAAACCCAAUCCAAUAAAAAAAUGAAGCAAAUACUCAUGUAUUAUUGACAUAGAGAUCAUUUGUAUAAACAGGAGAAGAGAUAUCUGGAAAUUACAAGUUAAACACGGUCGUCGCAGCGGACCUCGAAAACAAGCAGCCGUGUUUACUGGUUUGGGUUAUAACAUUAUCUCUGAUGGGGUGAUUAUAAGACAGUACACUGUUUUGCUAGUGCUAGCACUUUUCCAGUCUGAAAUAAUCUCUUAAAUUGAAUUGAAAUUCUUCUUGAGGUCACCAAUUUCAACUCUAGAUGAAUUUUAACAGUUUACAAUGUGUUUGAGUUUUGCCACCAAAACAUAUCGGUAGGCUCUUCCAACGAACAAGUACGAUUCACAUACAUGUACUUUUUUUUUGGUCAGGAGGAUACUCCUAUCCUGUGUGUCAACAGGGAGUAUACUCUCGCUGACCCUCACCCUGCCUGCCAUUCGUGUGCUCGGGAGACUACUUAGUUAACACGAGUAGCUCGCUCGAAUGCAGCAUUUGCCGACUGACCCUUUAUUUGCCGACUGAAAAGAAUUAUUGCUAUGCCGCUGUGUGAAAUAUGAGAUGUAUUCCAACAAACGUUGGAAAUAUGAGAUGUACAGGACGUAGUUUUUAUUAAAUGUUAGUCUGUUUAUAAAAAUUGAUCCAUUUGAAAAGCAGUGCACACAAAUUGAAAUGAAUCAGAUUAAAUGAUGUCUUUUGUUUAUCUUUAUUUUCAAACAAAUUAUUUGGCUACCAAAAUACAUAAUGUUGGCUCAUAAAUUUGUAGAAUGGCUAUAAAAUCAAACAUUUGGCUACAACUUUGACUAUUUAUUGAAGUUUUCCAGCUGGAACCCUGCUAACCAAUGUAUGUAAAUAACAUUUGAAACAUUAUACAUUACUACGAUGUUUUGAUUGGUGAUCUGUGCAUACAUGUGUACAAUGUAUAUAUACAUACAAUACCAGUACAUCUCUAACUCAUUAUGCAUUAUGCACGCACAAUGCCAACGCGUAAAUGUGGACGGGCGAAGUCUGCUUCCCAGACUUCAUAUUCCUAUGCCCAUGUUUUUGUAUAUUCUGGAUUCUAUGUCAGGUCCAGGAAUAGGGCUGAGUCAAAUCGAAUAAUUCACUAUUCGAAUAUUCAACCUUCAAUUUGAUCGAAUAUCCGAAUAUUCUGUCGUACAGACCGGCAGAUUGUUGAUGAGCAAACCUAUACUAAACCAGUUGCAAUAACCCACACAAUUGUACAUUUUGAUCAAUAUGUAAUAGCAUCUCACAUCUAGGAGUAUCUUCA